AGUAACGGCGAGUGAAGCGGCAACAGCUCAAAUUUGAAAUCUGGCGUCUUCGGCGUCCGAGUUGUAAUUUGCAGAGGGCGCUUUGGCAUUGGCAGCGGUCCAAGUUCCUUGGAACAGGACGUCACAGAGGGUGAGAAUCCCGUACGUGGUCGCUAGCCUUUACCGUGUAAAGCCCCUUCGACGAGUCGAGUUGUUUGGGAAUGCAGCUCUAAAUGGGAGGUAAAUUUCUUCUAAAGCUAAAUACUGGCCAGAGACCGAUAGCGCACAAGUAGAGUGAUCGAAAGAUGAAAAGCACUUUGGAAAGAGAGUUAAAAAGCACGUGAAAUUGUUGAAAGGGAAGCGCUUGCAGCCAGACUUGCCUGUAGUUGCUCAUCCGGGUUUUUACCCGGUGCACUCUUCUAUAGGCAGGCCAGCAUCAGUUUGGGCGGUUGGAUAAAGGUCUCUGUCAUGUACCUCUCUUCGGGGAGAACUUAUAGGGGAGACGACAUGCAACCAGCCUGGACUGAGGUCCGCGCAUCUGCUAGGAUGCUGGCGUAAUGGCUGUAAGCGGCCCGUCUUGAAACACGGACCAAGGAGUCUAACAUCUAUGCGAGUGUUUGGGUGUCAAGCCCGAGCGCGUAAUGAAAGUGAACGGAGGUGGGAACCUUUCGGGGUGCACCAUCGACCGAUCCUGAUGUCUUCGGAUGGAUUUGAGUAAGAGCAUAGCUGUUGGGACCCGAAAGAUGGUGAACUAUGCUUGAAUAGGGUGAAGCCAGAGGAAACUCUGGUGGAGGCUCGCAGCGGUUCUGACGUGCAAAUC
rnacentral:rRNA from 1 species